rnacentral:rRNA from 1 species
CGGAGGAUCCAAGCGUUAUCCGGAUUUAUUGGGUUUAAAGGGUGCGUAGGUGGUUUUUUAAGUCAGGGGUGAAAGACGGCAGCUUAACUGUCGCAGUGCCUUUGAUACUGAAGAACUUGAAUUAACUAGAGGUAGGCGGAAUGUGACAAGUAGCGGUGAGAUGCAUAGAUAUGUCACAGAACACCAAUUGCGAAGGCAGCUUACUAUGGUUAUAUUGACACUGAGGCACGAAAGCGUGGGGAUCAAACAGGAUUAGAUACCCUGGUAGUCCACGCCCUAAACGAUGAAUACUCGAUGUUGGCGAUAUACGGUCAGCGUCUAAGCGAAAGCGUUAAGUAUUCCACCUGGGGAGUACGCCCGCAAGGGUG